rnacentral:rRNA from 1 species
GACGGACGCUGGCGGCGUGCUUAACACAUGCAAGUUGAACGGUAGGACAUGGAAGCUUGCUGAAGUGUCAUAUAGUAGCGGACGGGUGAGUAAUGCAUGAGAAGCUGCAAUUGGGAGGGGGACAGCAGUUGGACACGGCUGCUACUACCCCGUAUGCCGGAAGGUGAAAGGGAGAAAUCCGCCUGAUUCGGUGCUCAUUUCCUAUCAGCUGGUUGGUGGGGUAACGGCCAAGCAAGGCGACGACGGGUAGCCGGCCUGCGUGGGUGAACGGCCACACUGGUACUGUGUUACGGUCCAGACUCCUACGGGAUGCAGCCGUGGGUAAUAUUGGGCAAUGGGGGCAACCCUGACCCAGCGACGCCGCGUGAGGGAAGACGGCCUUCGGGUUGUAAACCUCUUUUGUACGGGAAGAAGGAAGUGACGGUACUGUACGAAUAAGUCCCGGCUAACUACGUGCCAGCAGCCGCGGUAA